CCUACGGGUGGCAGCAGUAGGGAAUAUUGCUCAAUGGGGGAAACCCUGAAGCAGCAACGCCGCGUGGAGGAUGAAGGUUUUAGGAUUGUAAACUCCUUUUUUUAGAGAAGAUAAUGACGGUAUCUAACGAAUAAGCACCGGCUAACUCCGAGCCAGCAGCCGCGGGAAUACGGAGGAUGCAAGCGUUACUCGGAUUCACUGGGCGUAAAGAGCGCGUAGGCGGGCUAGCAAGUCAGAUGUGAAAUCCUAUGGCUUAACCAUAGAACUGCAUUUGAAACUGUUAUUCUAGAGUAUGGGAGAGGUAGGUGGAAUUCGUGGUGUAGGGGUGAAAUGCGUAGAGAUCAAGAAGAAUACUGAUUGCGAAGGCAGCCUGCUAGAACAUAACUGACGCUGAUGCGCGAAAGCGUGGGUAGCAAACAGGAUUAGAUACCCGGGUAGUC
rnacentral:rRNA from 1 species